GGGAGUAUAGCUCAGGGGUAGAGCGAUCGCUUCGCAUGCGAUAGGUCUUGGGUUCAAUUCCCAAUUCUUCCA